AUGGCGGAGGAACCGACCUCCAAGCGUCAUCAUGGCGAGACAUCUGACAAGAGCUGCAACCUCUACAACGUUCAUGUCCCCGGCGAGAAGUGCACGUACACCAAAACACUCAAAGGGAUUGAGCUCCAUGGCAACGAGACGCUGGAGAUCGUCUACACGAGCGAACCAGACAAGGCCGACGAGAUGAUCACCAUGCUCUAG
rnacentral:rRNA from 1 species